UGGUCGGGGCGUUAGGAAAGGUCCGGGAACCACUGGAAUAGAAGGACUGGUUCUCGGUUGCAGUCAGGACUUUGUCCUAGAUGGGUUUAUUUUAAGAGCUGUCUGCCAAGCCAGCUUCUAAAGAGCCAAAGCACCGGGGGCUGCUGCUAUGGAAAACAUGACUUUCCUGGGGGAUUAAGAUGCCCUCCCAGGCUCGCAGCUACGUAGCUCAGAGUCACCAUCGUGGAUUCGGAUUUGUGCUCCGCUGAAACCAGGACAUUCAUUUUCCUGGAAUUCCCAUCAGGGCAUUGAUGUGCGGUGGUGGAGUGCAGAGAUGAGAAACGACCCUACGUUGCCUGAGCUCUGCCCUGGAGCCCAAAGCCAGUUGGGAGCUGCAAAGGAAUUGUACCAGGUUCCAGACUUCUAGCUCCCCCGGAUGAGGACUAAGCCAGGAAAGACUGGUUCAGUCCGGGGUUAAAUCUGGCCCUUAUUCCUUCAACCCAAGAUCCACUGUUUAUUUAAUAUUCUUCAAAUUAGUUCUUGUUUUCUUAUUAAAAUGGGAACUAUAUCAAAAAUGAAGGAGAAUCUGUGUACCCUUCACCCAUUUUCAGCAACUGCCACAACAAGAGGCACAUUUAGGAUUUCUGGAAGUGGGAAGUGCUGUGUUGUAGGAAUUCCUUACCUUCAUGUGGUUACUGCCUCUUUCCCAUUCCCAGGUCAGCUGAUAAGUCAAUGAGAAGUCUGACGGUUGAUCAUGGAUCAAACAAACCAGAAAUAAACAAAAUCAACCAGGAAA